AGAGUUUGAUCCUGGCUCAGGAUGAACGCUGGCGGCGUGCCUAAUACAUGCAAGUCGAGCGAACGGACGAGAAGCUUGCUUCUCUGAUGUUAGCGGCGGACGGGUGAGUAACACGUGGAUAACCUACCUAUAAGACUGGGAUAACUUCGGGAAACCGGAGCUAAUACCGGAUAAUAUUUUGAACCGCAUGGUUCAAAAGUGAAAGACGGUCUUGCUGUCACUUAUAGAUGGAUCCGCGCUGCAUUAGCUAGUUGGUAAGGUAACGGCUUACCAAGGCAACGAUGCAUAGCCGACCUGAGAGGGUGAUCGGCCACACUGGAACUGAGACACGGUCCAGACUCCUACGGGAGGCAGCAGUAGGGAAUCUUCCGCAAUGGGCGAAAGCCUGACGGAGCAACGCCGCGUGAGUGAUGAAGGUCUUCGGAUCGUAAAACUCUGUUAUUAGGGAAGAACAUAUGUGUAAGUAACUGUGCACAUCUUGACGGUACCUAAUCAGAAAGCCACGGCUAACUACGUGCCAGCAGCCGCGGUAAUACGUAGGUGGCAAGCGUUAUCCGGAAUUAUUGGGCGUAAAGCGCGCGUAGGCGGUUUUUUAAGUCUGAUGUGAAAGCCCACGGCUCAACCGUGGAGGGUCAUUGGAAACUGGAAAACUUGAGUGCAGAAGAGGAAAGUGGAAUUCCAUGUGUAGCGGUGAAAUGCGCAGAGAUAUGGAGGAACACCAGUGGCGAAGGCGACUUUCUGGUCUGUAACUGACGCUGAUGUGCGAAAGCGUGGGGAUCAAACAGGAUUAGAUACCCUGGUAGUCCACGCCGUAAACGAUGAGUGCUAAGUGUUAGGGGGUUUCCGCCCCUUAGUGCUGCAGCUAACGCAUUAAGCACUCCGCCUGGGGAGUACGACCGCAAGGUUGAAACUCAAAGGAAUUGACGGGGACCCGCACAAGCGGUGGAGCAUGUGGUUUAAUUCGAAGCAACGCGAAGAACCUUACCAAAUCUUGACAUCCUUUGACAACUCUAGAGAUAGAGCUUUCCCCUUCGGGGGACAAAGUGACAGGUGGUGCAUGGUUGUCGUCAGCUCGUGUCGU
rnacentral:rRNA from 1 species